GUACCAAUGGUGAAGAGCAAUUUUAUUGGCUCAAAUGACCGAGAGAAAUCAGUUAUUCUUUUUAGUUACUCUAUGGAGAGAAAUCCAUUCUUGUUUGGUGGAUAUACAUUUUGACUAUCUUAUUAGAUCGGUUUAACCUAGCAACAACGAUCAUGACGAAAGGUCUACACUUCUCACACGAACUCAAUGGUUCUCACACAAACUCGAUGGAUCUAUCCAUGUUAUAAGGGAAGGUUAAAAGGAUAUUAAGUUGCACAGCUUUUGUGAUUAGUUAGUGGUGCAUCCACUCUGACUUGCAAUUUAGAAAAUGAAAGAUGGCAGCAGGAGAGGAAUCCACUUUGUGUUAGAAAAUCUUUUGUUUAUUGCUGAAUAAAGGUAGGUUUUCAAUUGGUCCUCCAUGAUUAAUAAAAUAAUCAUUCCAAUUGAAUUAUAGAACCACUAACUAGAUAGUGCUUCUUAAUAUGCAUAAAAUACAUUCAUAGGCAAAUAUGGACUUUCAUACAUGCAUAUACUGUAUUUAUAUUCCUAAAAAAAAAUAUUUAUAUAUUAAAUUGAAUAUUUAGC
rnacentral:lncRNA from 1 species